rnacentral:lncRNA from 1 species
CAAGAUCGAAAAGUACAAAAUCCUUUGUGAGGGGCAAGGUCUAUCUCCAGCACAAUCUUCAUUGCAAUUGACAGGGACACUGUUCCUGCAGUGAAGGGUAUUGAUGGGAGGAUUGCAUGGAAAUUGAGAAGUCCCUGACUGCAGUGUUGGCUGAAGAAGAGGAAGGGGCAUGUGAACAGCUCUGCUGUAGAGAGCUGUAUGCAUGCUGCUAA